GUAAGCAUAGUUUAACAAAAACCUCAGAUUGUGAAUCUGACAAUAGAAGGCUCCGACUUCUUACUUACC
rnacentral:tRNA from 1 species